rnacentral:rRNA from 1 species
UACGGGGGGAGCAAGCGUUGUUCGGAUUUACUGGGCGUAAAGGGCGCGUAGGCGGCCACUGCAAGUCAGUUGUGAAAUCUCCGGGCUUAACCCGGAAAGGUCAACUGAUACUGCAGGGCUAGAGUGCAGAAGGGGCAACUGGAAUUCUCGGUGUAGUGGUGAAAUGCGUAGAUAUCGGGAGGAACACCAGUGGCGAAGGCGACUUCCUGGCCUGUUCUUGACGCUGAGGCGCGAAAGCUAGGGGAGCAAACGGG